CAAGGGAGCGCCACACACCAGCUGCCCUGCCAUGAUUAUGGGAGGCUAGUCACAGGGGGGAUCUGGGAUUAUGUGAGAAUUGUUCAUUUGCUUCUCUUGAUUGCCAAGUUCAGUGGAACAUAGAGAAGUAACAAUGGUGAGAGCAGAAAUGAGAACUGUUGUUUGCAGAACUUAAUGCUUAAGGGAAGCCGUCCCCUCAGAGCAGGAAGAAGCCAGAGCUUAGCCUAGAGGCUCAUGGACCUCAGGCAGGGCACUUCGUGACCAGCGGCAGGGAUAACUGCCCAGGAGGAGAGGGUUCCAAAGGCUGAAAGAAACGUAUUUUAUUGUGUCCAGGGGAGAUGGGUCCUUAGGAAAUGAUUUUUUGGGUAAAGCUUUAGUGUUCUCUCCAUCCAAUGUGGGGCUCGAACUCACAACCACAAGAUACAGACACGUUCCGCUGACUGAGUCCCCCAGGCACCCCAGCAACUUGAUAUCUUUGAUUAUCUAGGAAUGCAAGCCUGAUUGCUUAUAACACGAAGCUAAUGGUCACAUUAUUUUCACAUACAUUUUCAGCAUCUGCGGUGCCUGGAGCCCACCUGAGCUGGCAGAAGGCUCUGCGCAGCGACGAGUCCCAGCCUUUCUGACCACCACUGCUCGGUUUUUGAAUGGAAACCCCAGGCCUUAUCCACUCCCAAUACCAACGGGGAACAGUCAGGGGCAGUGUGCGGUUCCCAGACUGUGGGGGAUGGGGUCCUUCUGUUUGGUCCCUUCCUAGGUCUAGGGUCCAUGGGAACAGGGGGUGGUGCCCUGCGGUCUCCCUCAGCCAGGACACAGUCACCUUCUCGGUUACUGCCCAUACAUACAGCUGCACCUGUCUUGUGUGUCCCCUCCUGUGUAGAUGAAGGCUCCCGCUAAUCUGGCUCUUGGAGGCCAAAACCCCCCAGAAUUGGUGAGCCUGGUUGAGCACUGAGAGCUGUCAGGGCCCUUGCCACCACACCCAAGAAUGCUUGAGUUCAGGGCAACAGGUCAUGGAACCAGUAAGAUGGGGCCUAGGUCCACUGUCCCCACCUCAAGAAGACUUCCUUGUGAGGAGGGACCCUGGGAAUCACCACACAGUCACCCCAGGGCACAUCCCUUUUAGCGGAUGAGUUCGGGUGUAUGGAACCCAGAGGAUUAGCUAAAAGGAUAAUUCGACUGUAAACAUUCAUAGGCGCCUCCUUGGGCCACUGCUGCUUAAUUUAUGUCUAAAACCUCUGGUACUGGAGGUAGAAAUACCGACCCCAAUGAAAAAAUGUUAUUGUGUCCUGAAAGCAUGUUUUGGUACUCAUCAGGCUGGGAGCCCCAGAAUAUGGUGCUCGGCACCCAUUUGGGUCCAGAUAUGACCAGACAGAAGUGACGGGGACAGCGUGUGUGCAAAAGCGCCGUCCUGCUAAACCGCUGACAGCCUUCAGGGUCACCACAACGGCCCUUACGAGAAACUUCCCUUCUGUAAGGAAGGAUAAGAAGUGCACUUAGAAGCAACGGUUGCAAAAUCAAACAAACAGGACGCUAGAUGAAUCGGCAUACAGAAGCUUCCAGAAGGCCUCAAAAUCCAGACUAGCUUCAUGGAGAGAUUCCUUGCAGAACACCCGUGAGAAAGUCCAGACCCGGGAUGUUCAAGGUGACCGGUGACUGUGGCUGGUUUUCCCUCUCGGAAACCACAGACUAGUUCUGGGGGUGAAACUGGCCAGUUUGCAGAACCUGAUAGAACAACAACAACAAAGCUCCCCUCCCCUCAGCUGAUAUGGCACUUGGUCCCCAGAGGGACAGAAAGGGCUCCUCCACCUUCCGCAAGGUAUUGACUGAGGAAGAUAAAGCAGCUGGAGGCUGGGUCCGCCCAGGACAGCAUUGAAGCCACAAUCCAGUUCCUCGAGGAACUGGGAGUCCCGACCCCACCUCACACAUCUCUGGGAUGCUAGAAUGCGGCUCUGGAGUCUCUGGGGUCAUCUUCGGCAAAGGAAAGCUGCUUUCAGCUUGGUUUCAUCAAAUCAGGCCCGGCUUCAGACGGAGCAGCUUUAAGUAUCGUGCGGAAAUCCCACUUGCACUCUGCCUUCUCAGACCGGCUCAUGCUCUCUCCCACAAGGUCUGUCAGCGAGAAAAAUAGCUUGGGAUGAUGGCGACUGUGCCCAACGUCUCGUGAAGUUGUGAAGGGUGUGAAUAUCAUUGAGAACAAGGCAACGGAAUAGAUAAAAUAAAAAUAGCAUAAACAUCUUUA